GACAAGAACACUGAAGAAAGGUGUUCUGUUCAAUGUCUAUGUAGACUGGUACACAUCCACCAGAGACCUUACUGAAGCCUCUGAGUGUACAAGGAGAAAUAUUCUCAUAUAGUCAUAGCUGAAGACACAUGAAGCCCACCGGGCUUGGACACGUGGAUGUUGUGCUGAGCACCUGAAGCGACCGUUCACCUGCAGAAGAGUCUCCAAAGACAGCUGUUUUUGGAAACAGUCUGGGAAAGCUGUCAGCUGUCAUCAGCCAGGAGCACAGAUGAGGCAAUGCCAGCCCUGCAGAUCUGACCCAGUCUCCUGGAAAACAGAUGCACAGGCCCCAGCUCCUGCUUGCUCCCUACUUCCUUGUUUGUCUGCAGAAGAUGCAUGCAAAGGGAGAAACAAAUGUUUCAUGGGGAAAAAAAAAACAGAACCAGAAAGUUCUUCUGUUUUGUGUUUCUGAUAUUUUGUUAUCUGUUUAUUUACUAUGUCACGUGGCUCACUACUGCAGAUAAAGAUCCCAUUGGAGCGACUUCCAAACAUCAGAUCCCAGCUUUUUUUAGGAAUUAACUGGAAACUAAGGAGCUGGUUGUGCUUUUGCCAAAAGAUCCAAGCUGGCUGUCAGGAGAAGGGCAGGUUCCCUACCCUGCCUUUGCUGAGCAGGGGAGGUGGGUUGAAAUUCCCAGGGAAAGGAGCUGUCUAGAUCCAAGUGAAGGAGUCAUAUUUUGAAAACUGCUUUCUGAAUGAGUCAGUGGAGCUAUCUCCCAAGGCGCUGGAGCCUGCCAGAGGGAAGAGCAGAUAGUUUUGUUGUUUCUUUUCCCCUUCCGCUGUUGAGAUCGAUUAUUCACCAUCUUGAAGUACGUCACCAGCCUUGGGAAGCUGUUUUUUGACUAGAAUACUUCUUGAC